GAUGAACGCUGGCGGCGUGGCUAAGGCAUGCAAGUCGUAAGCUAAUAGCAAUAUUGGCUUGGCAAACGGGAGCGGAACACAUUGGUAAUCUGCCCCGAGGACGAGGAUAAUCCUGCGAAAGUGGGAAUAAUACUCGAUAGUAGUGAGGGGACAAAAGUCAUUCUCACUUAAAGCAGCAAUGCACCUCGGGAGGAACCUAUGUCCUAUCAGCUAGUUGGUGAGGUAAUGGCUCACCAAGGCUAUGACGGGUACCGGGUGUGAGAGCAUGACCCGGCUCACUGGGACUGAGACACUGCCCAGACUCCUACGGGAGGCAGCAGUGGGGAAUUUUGGACAAUGGGCGCAAGCCUGAUCCAGCCAUGCCGCGUGAGUGAAGAAGGCC
rnacentral:rRNA from 1 species